UGGCAGUUUCCUUUCUUCCAGAUCAACUUUAAAUUUGGCCUGAGAGAGGCGCCUAAGGGCUUCUUCCUAUAAGGAAACGCCACCGAGCUACAGCCAAUCAGAGGCAGUCUUUCAAAGCGGUUUAGCCAAUGGCACCGCAGAUUCAGAGCUCCCGCCUUGCUGGCUCAGGAAGCGCGUGGGUCGGAGGCUGCUGGAUGACUGCGCGCUAAUUCCGAACAAAGGGAAAAUAUUGACCCUGACGUCCUCCACCGUGUCGGAGCUGUGCAUUAUAAAUGGGGGGCAGGAGGCUGAAGCUCCUGGCAGACUCCUAUUGGUAUCUUUCUGCUCAGAAAGAUGUGGGUGGCAGUCCUCCAAAACCCUUCACCCUUGUGGUCCUGCAGCUGCCCAAGCUAGAUACAGGUCACUUUGAAGUCUAUGAAUCCCUGGAUCUCAUCUUGAUCUUAGUGGGUGAAGACUCAGAACUGCCUUGUCUCCGCUCACCCAGUGUGAGUGCUGAAUAUAUGGAGCUACGCUGGUUCCAGAAUCCAUUCUCGCCUGCAGUGUUGGUGCACCGUGAAGGCCAAGAGCUGGAGGAAGAGCAGGCGCUUGAGUAUCAAGGACGGUGACAACAGUGCAGUACAACGUCACUUUGGGGCAUGUUACUCUGAAGAUACACCAGGACUUUGAUGAAGGGGUUUAUGGGUGUUCCUUCAGGGAUAAACAAGCCCAUGGAGAAGCCUUCAUCUAUCUGAAAGUAGCUGGGUACCUGAGCGUCUGCAGAUUUUGGUAUUCAAGGGGACCCUGGAGCCGUUUCCCACUCACACCAAAGGACACCUGCAUCGUCAUGAGUAAACUUUGUUAAAUGGAGAUUGGCACAGUCAUAUGCAGUUAAUGUCACUCUGGAUGAGAACACGGCCCUCCCCCAGCUGGUCCUGAUUCCAAAUCAGCUUGCCUGGCAGGUUCAAGUCAGACAUUACCUGAUACACAAUGUUAAGAAUUGUAACGAGAGGAAGCUUACUCAUGGCAACACUUGACAACAAUGUAAAACAUGUCUUUUUUCUGAACAUAAUUUAUUUGUAUGCCACUGCUUUGUUUCCAUAAUUUUGCAUUUUCUUUUUAUUAAAUCCAUUUCUCCAUCCAAGUAGCAACUAGAUCAGACACUUUCAGGGUGGUUUCCGGUUCCCUAUAACCUGAAACCCUUUGUAUCAUGCUGUGCUAACCUUAGGGUAAAGCACUAUGCUGACUAUGAAGAACCUUUAUUUAUUAGAAGCUGUUAUUGUUUUUAAAUGAUUACUAUUUAUACAGUGUUCUGGAACCAUCUCUAUGAAUUCUGGUUGCCUCUAUUUUUUUAUUCCCAUAAACUGCAGUGUUUGGAGUUUUGAUUUUGAAGAAUUCGCUUCAGUUUGUCGUCCUCUGGAAAAUAUUGAUUCAGUUGUUGCAAAAACUUCUUGCUGGCGAGACGGUAGCGCGGGACAUCUGGUGCCGAAACCCGGG